GACGAAGGGGGCUAGCGUUGUUCGGAAUUACUGGGCGUAAAGCGCGUGUAGGCGGUUGUCCAAGUUGGAUGUGAAAGCCUUGAGCUUAACUCAAGAAAUGCAUUCAGGACUGGAUGACUAGAGGACCGGAGAGGAUAGUGGAAUUCCCAGUGUAGUGGUGAAAUACGUAGAGAUUGGGAAGAACACCAGUGGCGAAAGCGGCGCACUGGACCAUAACUGACGCUGAGGCGCGAAAGCUAGGGGAGCAAACAGG
rnacentral:rRNA from 1 species